rnacentral:rRNA from 1 species
UACGUAGGGUGCAAGCGUUGUCCGGAAUCAUUGGGCGUAGAGCGCGCGUAGGUGGCUUCGUAAGUCCGUUGUGAAAGUCAAAGGCUCAACCUUUGAAUGCCGAUGGAUACUGCGAAGCUAGAGUACGGAAGAGGCGAGUGGAAUUCCCGGUGUAGCGGUGAAAUGCGCAGAUAUCGGGAGGAACACCAAUGGCGAAGGCAGCUCGCUGGGACGGUACUGACGCUGAGACGCGAAAGCGUGGGGAGCAAACAGG